rnacentral:rRNA from 1 species
CCUACGGGUGGCAGCAGUGGGGGAUAUUGCACAAUGGGGGAAACCCUGAUGCAGCGACGCCGCGUGGGUGAAGAAGGAUUUCGGUAUGUAAAGCCCUAUCAGCAGGGAAGAAAGAAGACGGUACCUGACUAAGAAGCCCCGGCUAACUACGUGCCAGCAGCCGCGGUAAUACGUAGGGGGCGAGCGUUAUCCGGAUUCACUGGGUGUAAAGGGAGCGUAGACGGCCGUGCAAGCCAGGAGUGAAAGCCCGGGGCCCAACCCCGGGACUGCUCUUGGAACUGGGCGGCUGGAGUGCGGGAGGGGCAGGCGGAAUUCCUGGUGUAGCGGUGAAAUGCGUAGAUAUCAGGAGGAACACCGGCGGCGAAGGCGGCCUGCUGGACCGCGACUGACGUUGAGGCUCGAAAGCGUGGGGAGCGAACAGGAUUAGAUACCCCUGUAGUC